UCUGUCCCUAGAGGAUUUGCCGGUGUGGCUUCUGUGUCACAUGUGUGUCAGUAGGUGGCAGAGAAGAAAGAAGCAAUGUCUACCCUCAGUGUUCUCACCUGUGGACAUCUGAAUGAUUAGUAGCGUAACACU